GAUCAUGGCUCAGGAUGAACGCUGGCGGCGUGCCUAAUACAUGCAAGUCGAGCGAACAGACGAGGAGCUUACUCCUCUGACGUUAGCGGCGGACGGGUGAGUAACACGUGGAUAACCUACCUAUAAGACUGGGAUAACUUCGGGAAACCGGAGCUAAUACCGGAUAACAUGUUGAACCGCAUGGUUCAACAGUGAAAGACGGUCUUGCUGUCACUUAUAGAUGGAUCCGCGUCGCAUUAG
rnacentral:rRNA from 1 species